CGGCCACGGCUCCACCGGCAGGGCCGCCUUGACCGAGCCCUGAGGGCCGGGACACCGCAGCGGGCUCCUCCUUUGGCCCACCCCGGCUUCAUCCUCGCCCCCCGCGGGGCCCGGCCCAGCCUGCCCCGGCCUCCGCCUCCCCUCAGGGCCCGCAGCCUCCGAACGGCUACCGCAGGCUUCGUCCUGGGGUCUCGUUCCCACACCUGUACCCAAAACACCCCCCAAAACAUCCCCAAACGCAGCCCACCCUCUCUUUGUCUUAAAUCACCCCCAAAACCACCGGUCCUUCCUCUUCAGGGCUUAAAUCCCCUGCGUUUAGUCAGCCUGCCUCGCUGGUGCGUGUCCCCAGAGGAAAGGAAAAGCACGUUUCCCCCAAAUAUUCCUUGCUUUUGCCCCAAAAAGGGGUUUGUUUCAUGGGGACAGCAGUGUGGGUACUGCAAGGCCACCAUCACCCUGCGGAGGAAAGGAAAAUUGCCAGAAGCUUUCAGCAGAAGAUGCUGAGCAGUUCUGAGACUGUCUUGAAGAGGACAGUAUUUCCUACUGCCUUGGUUAGCAAGGAGGUGUGGGAAGAGGUUUGCAAACAGUGAUGUCUGUGUGGUGCUUAGAGAUCCAUGAGGAAACAGAAUCGGCUUUCUUAGCAGUGGGAGGCUGAGAUGGUAGAGAACCAGCCACACAAAAUGCUAUUAAAGGAUAAAAAAAAAAAUGCUGAAUGACAGUCUAGGCUGGACUGAAUUUCCAUAGCAAGGCUCACUGUUAUACAUGAAGGCCUUCCUUUGCAUCACCUUGAACAUGCUCUAGCUGCUGGAGACAGAGGGCAAAAAAAGGGAGUGGGUUCUCGUGGGCUUGAUCUCUCUGGUUGUCUCUUCACCCUCCUUUACCCUGUGGUGGGUCAAAUUCUGCCUUCUCUUCUCAAGGCUGAGAACUGGAGGUGGGGAGAGUCCUCAAAUGUGCUGACAUUUCUGAGUUUAGUGCAUCCC
rnacentral:lncRNA from 1 species